GAUGAACGCUGGCGGCGUGCCUAAUACAUGCAAGUCGAGCGAACAGACGAGGAGCUUGCUCCUCUGACGUUAGCGGCGGACGGGUGAGUAACACGUGGAUAACCUACCUAUAAGACUGGGAUAACUUCGGGAAACCGGAGCUAAUACCGGAUAAUAUAUUGAACCGCAUGGUUCAAUAGUGAAAGACGGUUUUGCUGUCACUUAUAGAUGGAUCCGCGCCGCAUUAGCUAGUUGGUAAGGUAACGGCUUACCAAGGCAACGAUGCGUAGCCGACCUGAGAGGGUGAUCGGCCACACUGGAACUGAGACACGGUCCAGACUCCUACGGGAGGCAGCAGUAGGGAAUCUUCCGCAAUGGGCGAAAGCUUGACGGAGCAACGCCGCGUGAGUGAUGAAGGUCUUCGGAUCGUAAAACUCUGUUAUUAGGGAAGAACAAAUGUGUAAGUAACUAUGCACGUCUUGACGGUACCUAAUGAGAAAGCCACGGCUAACUACGUG
rnacentral:rRNA from 1 species